rnacentral:rRNA from 1 species
GAUGAACGCUGGCGGCGUGCCUAAUACAUGCAAGUAGAACGCUGAAGCUUGGUGCUUGCACCGAGCGGAUGAGUUGCGAACGGGUGAGUAACGCGUAGGUAACCUGCCUCUUAGCGGGGGAUAACUAUUGGAAACGAUAGCUAAUACCGCAUAAAAGUCGACAUUGCAUGAUGUUGACUUGAAAGGUGCAAUUGCAUCACUAAGAGAUGGACCUGCGUUGUAUUAGCUAGUUGGUGAGGUAACGGCUCACCAAGGCAACGAUACAUAGCCGACCUGAGAGGGUGAUCGGCCACACUGGGACUGAGACACGGCCCAGACUCCUACGGGAGGCAGCAGUAGGGAAUCUUCGGCAAUGGGGGCAACCCUGACCGAGCAACGCCGCGUGAGUGAAGAAGGUUUUCGGAUCGUAAAGCUCUGUUGUAAGAGAAGAACGAGUGUGAGAGUGGAAAGUUCACACUGUGACGGAACUACCAGAAA